rnacentral:sRNA from 1 species
GUUCGACUCGAGCGGAAGCGAGAGAACGUUGCCGCAGGCAACGACCCGAAGGGGGAGAAGCUUGAGCGACGAAUAAUCCUUCCCCCACCACCA